rnacentral:rRNA from 1 species
CCAAACAAGUAUUAAAGGCGACGCCUGCCCAGUGAACUUUAAACGGCCGCGGUAUCCUAACCGUGCAAAGGUAGCAUAAUCAUUUGUCUAUUAAUUGUAGACCUGUAUGAAAGGCAUAAUGAGAGCCCAACUGUCUCCUAUAACAAAUCAAUUAAACUGAUCUCCUAGUACAAAAGCUAGAAUAUCAACAUAAGACCAGAAGACCCUGUGAAGCUUUAACUAACCUAUUAAACCCAAUAAUAACUACUUUCGGUUGGGGCGACCUUGGAACAAAAGAGAACUUCCAAAGGCAUACAAGCCAAUACUAGACCCAGCACAGCUGAUGAAAUAAGUUACUCCAGGGAUAACAGCGCCAUCUUCUUCAAGAGCCCAUAUCAAAAAGAAGGUUUACGACCUCGAUGUUGGAUCAGGACAUCCCAGUAAUGCAGCCGUUACUAAAGGUUCGUUUGUUCAACGAUUAACAGUCCUACGUGAUCUG